ensembl:misc_RNA
GUGAAAUCAUCUUUCAUCAAAGAAACAGGUACAGCACAGGCAGUGGCAAUGCAGACUUCCCACACUGUUUUCCAAUAUGCUCUAGCUCUGAGCUGGAUGAAUCACUCUAAAAAUCAGAGCACAGAUCGUUCAGUCCUUGGCCACU